GACGAACGCUGGCGGCGUGCUUAACACAUGCAAGUCGAGCGGUAAGGCCCUUUCGGGGGUACACGAGCGGCGAACGGGUGAGUAACACGUGGGUGACCUGCCCUCAGCUCUGGGAUAAGCCUGGGAAACUGGGUCUAAUACCGGAUAUGACUCCAUGACGCAUGUUGUGGGGUGGAAAGCCUUGUGCGGCUGAGGAUGGGCCCGCGGCCUAUCAGCUUGUUGGUGGGGUGANGACCUACCAAGGCGACGACGGGUAGCCGGCCUGAGAGGGCGACCGGCCACACUGGGACUGAGACACGGCCCAGACUCCUACGGGAGGCAGCAGUGGGGAAUCUUGCGCAAUGGGCGAAAGCCUGACGCAGCGACGCCGCGUGAGGGAUGACGGCCU
rnacentral:rRNA from 1 species